rnacentral:ncRNA from 1 species
ACCUAUGAAAAGGCAGGUAUAAAUAAAUAAGAUGAGAAGACCCUGUGGAGCUUUAAUUCAUUAAUACAAAUAAAGAUUCAAACAAGCCAACAGGCCCCAAUGUAUCAUCCCUGCAUUAAAAAUUUUGGUUGGGGUGGUUGGGCACAGUGGCUCAUGCCUGUAAUCCCAGCACUUUGGGAGGCCGAGGUGGGUGGAUCACGAGGUCAGGAGAUCGAGAACAUCCUGGCUAACACAGUAAAACCCUGUCUCUACUAAAAAUACAAAAAAUUAGCCGGGUGUGGUGGUACAUGCCUGUAGUCCCAGCUACUCAGGAGGAUGAGGCAGGAGAAUGGCAUGAACCCGGGAGGCGGAGCUUGCAGUGAGCCGAGAUGGUGCCACUGCACUCCAGCCUGAGCGACAUAGCGAGACUCUGUCUUAAAAAAAAAAAAAAAAAAAAAAAUUUGGUUGGGGUGACCUUGGAGCGUAACUCAACCUCCGAAACGACUUAAACUAAGACCGCACUAGUGUAAGUCAGUUAUUACACAUUGACCCAAUAAUUCCAUCAACAGGAUAAGUGACCCUAGGGAUAAGAGUGCAAUCCUAUUCUAGUGUCCAUAUCAACAACAGGGUUUACGGCCUGGAUGUUGGAUAGGAACAUCCUAAAUGGUGUAGCCGCUGUUAAGGGAUUAUUUGUUCAAUGAUUAAAUUCCUUCGUGAUCUGAGUUCAGACCAGAGCAAUCCAGGUUGGUUUCUAUCUAUUUA